rnacentral:rRNA from 1 species
AACAGGAAGAAGCUUGCUUCUUUGCUGACGAGUGGCGGAGCGGGUGAGUAAUGUCUGGGAAACUGCCUGAUGGAGGGGGAUAACUACUGGAAACGGUAGCUAAUACCGCAUAACGUCGCAAGACCAAAAAGGGGGACCUUCGGGCCUCUUGCCAUCGGAUGUGCCCAGAUGGGAUUAGCUAGUAGGUGGGGUAACGGCUCACCUAGGCGACGAUCCCUAGCUGGUCUGAGAGGAUGACCAGCCACACUGGAACUGAGACACGGUCCAGACUCCUACGGGAGGCAGCAGUGGGGAAUAUUGCACAAUGGGCGCAAGCCUGAUGCAGCCAUGCCGCGUGUAUGAAGAAGGCCUUCGGGUUGUAAAGUACUUUCAGCGGGGAGGAAGGGAGUAAAGUUAAUACCUUUGCUCAUUGACGUUACCCGCAGAAGAAGCACCGGCUAACUCCGUGCCAGCAGCCGCGGUAAUACGGAGGGUGCAAGCGUUAAUCGGAAUUACUGGGCGUAAAGCGCACGCAGGUGGUUUGUUAAGUCAGAUGUGAAAUCCCCGGGCUCAACCUGGGAACUGCAUCUGAUACUGGCAAGCUUGAGUCUCGUAGAGGGGGGUAGAAUUCCAGGUGUAGCGGUGAAAUGCGUAGAGAUCUGGAGGAAUACCGGUGGCGAAGGCGGCCCCCUGGACGAAGACUGACGCUCAGGUG